CCGUGUUCUAUCCCCUGAAACACUCACGAAGCUCAUUGUCCCUCUCACUCAUGAUGAAGCUCGUUGUCCCACUUACCAACGAAGCUCGCUAUCCCUCUCACUCGCCCACAAAGCUCGUUGUCACGCCACACCCAUUGCCGACCAGUUGCCUAACGUCACUGACCAACCGCAAUUCACGUCACCGACCAGUUGCCUAACGUCACUGACCAACCGCAAUUCACGUCGCCGACUAGUCUUACUUGACAGUGUGCUUGACGAUUUUGGACCUUUUUCACCUGUUCAGGUAAUUAAAUUUAGUAUGCUAAGGAAAGUUUUGAUUUAUUAGGUUGCGAUGUCAAAAAUAGAUUGGGUAGUAUUAGUGGUCAAUUUUCUAGAAUUGUUUUACUGUUGGUGUUUGGAUUGUUUUUGGAAUUUAUAUUUAAAAUUAUGAGAAAUAAGUUAUUUGAAAUGCAGAUUUUGUUUGAAUUAUAUAUGGUUCGUACAAUUUUAUUUUUGAUGGUAUAGAAAUGACGAAUUUGGAAAAAGAUUAUGAAGUCGAAGAAUUAGAUGACAAUGAUUCAAAUGGAAAUAAUAAAGAAACUAAUAAUGUAGUGGAUGUGAAACCAAAAAAGUAUGUGUCAAAAUUUGGGAUGUUGUUUGAUAAUCUUGAUUAGAUGUAUGAUUAUUAUAAAGGUUUUAGUAAACAAGAGGGUUUUCCAAUAAAGUGACAAACUACUAAAAAAGGAUUUGAUGGGAUUGUGAGAUAUGUGACUUUUUCUUAUGAGCGGGAAGCCUAAAAUUCAGUUUUCUAAUGUAUGGAGGCCAUAACCUAGGAGGAGAAGUGGUUGCGAAGUGAAUUUGGAGGAUGUCUUAAUGAAGAUGGAAAAUGGGUUGUUUGAAAUUUAGUUCUUGAACACAACCAUGGAGUGAUAUAACCACCACAUUAGUUCAAGUGUAAAAAAAUCUUGAUAUAAAUGAUAAAGCAAGAAUUAAAGUUGCACAAAAUUUUGCUUCUGUUGUUGUUGAAGUAUGUGGAUUUGAAAAUGUCUCAUUCAUAGAAAGAGAUGUUAGAAAUCGCACCAUCCAUGCAAGGAGAUUACAACUAAAAGAAGGGGAUGUUAUGGCAAUUCAAGUGAAUUUUAAGAAAAUGCAGAAAGAAUGUAAUGGCUUUUACUAUGACAUAGACGUGAAUGAAGAUGGUCAACUAGUCAAUGUAUGAUGGGUAGAUCCAAAGAGUAGGGUACCUUACAAGGAUUUUGGAGAUGUUAUGUUCAACACUACAUAGCUUACAAACAAGUAUGACAUGCCAUUUUCUCCCUUUGUGGGAGUUAACCAUCAUGGUCAGUUUAACUUGCUAGUGUGUGGAUUGAUUUCUUAUGAGGACACUAAGACAUUUAUAUGGUUAUUUUCAGUUGUGUCUCCUGCAUGUUGAGCUCUCCUCCCAAUAAAAUCAUUACAGCCCAGGAUAAAGUAACCAAAAAGGCUAUUGAGAUAUUUUUUCCUCAUACUAGAUAUCGAUGGUAAUUGUAGCAUAUUCUAAAAAGGGUACCUGAGAUGUUAGGGGGCUUAUAAAAAAAUAUGAUGGCAUUAAAUUCAUUACUUUCUACUAUUUAUAAUUUGCAAAGUCCUAGUAUGUUUGAGAAUGCAUAGCAUGACAUAAUUAUGAAAUAUGAUUUAGGUUGCAAUGAUUAGUUCAAGUGGUUUGUACAAUGAGAGAUAUUGUUAGGUUCCGUGUUUUGUGAAUAAUAGUUUUUUUGGUAGGAAUAUCAACAACUCAAUAAAGUGAGAGCAUGAUGCUUUUCUUUAUAGGUACGUGACAUCAAAAACAACAUUGAAACAACCUGUGGAGCAAUUUGAUAAUGCAUUGCAAAGUAAAGUGGAAAAGAAUCAUAAAAAGAUGAGAACUGUUUAAGGCAAUAGAUUUUAUGUGUAACUAUUUUUGAAAUGGAGAGGCAAAUUCAAGAGGCUUACACUAACUCAAAGUUUCUUGAAUUUCAGCAAGAGCUACUUGGUUUGAUGUAUUGUGACAUAAUCGACUGUGUGGGAUCAUUAUAUGAUGUUAGUGAACAGAGUGUGGAUGGUAACAAAAGAAGUUCCGAAUUCAUUUUUGAAAAUGAUGAAAGCACAGUGGAUGUAGCUAUUUAAAGUUUGAAUCUGCAAGGCUUAUGUGUAGACAUGCCAUUGGAUCAUUUCUGUGUUGUUUCGUAACUCUAUUACUCUACUUCCAGAAAAAUACAUCUUACGGAGAUGGAGAAAAGAUGUAUAAAGAUGUCAUAAUAAGGUAAAAUUCAGUUGUGAGAGGUGGAGUUUUAACUAAUGAACAGAAGCAAUGUAGAAAAAUGUGUGAUGUUUUUAGCAAUGUUGUGAACAUAGCUGCAGAUGAUAGAAAAAAGUUACCAAUUCCUUAUGGAUUUGAUUGGGAAAAUAGAAGUGGGUCUGCCUUAGAGAAUUUGUUGUAGAAGUAAAACAAGUGGUAACAACAAGGUGGGAUGUAUAAUGAAUGAGAAUAAUCAAAUUAACCUACAAGAUCUAGUUGUAUCUUGAACAAAAGGUUGUCUACCUUCUCAAAGAAAACAAUCGAAGGUUGAGAAGAAAUACAAAAAGAAAAUUAAGGUAAGAUUAAAUACUUAGAUAAUUAUUUUAUAGUUAAUUUUAAUUUAUCUUUUUAUGGAUUUACUGGACUCAAAUGUAAAAACUCUAUUAUCUUUUAAUGUGGAUAUUGUGGUCCCAACGCAGGAGAGCAAUAAGAAUUCAGUAAGUUUUGUGUUUUUUUAUGUAUGUUUAUUAAUAUUAAAUUUGUCAUUAUGUAAAAAGUUACCAGUACAGUGUUUAUUUAGGCACCUGUGUUUGCAUGCCGAUCACCAGGAUGCGAUAUUUAUCCAUCAUAUCCUUUUGAUUCUUACACUAUAAGUUAUAAACCAAUUUCUAUAUUUUAUGCCUAAUUAAUUUUGCACUUUAUGGAAUGUAAUAUGGUUAUUAUUUUAUGCAAACUAACAAUCUCUAUUACUCUCAUCGCAUCCAUCUAUGUUGCCUUAUUCUUCGUCUUAGAUACUCUAUGGAGGAUCUCAACAAGGGAGUUUUCAGCAAUUACUACUUCAAACUAGGGGUGAGCGUUCGGAUCAGGUUA
rnacentral:lncRNA from 1 species